UCCGUAGGUGAACCUGCGGAAGGAUCAUUACCGAAUUGUCAACAAGAGUUGUUGCUGGCCCCUGUAUGGGGGCAUGUGCACACCCUGUUUACACAUCCACUCACACCUGUGCACUCUCUGUAGUUCUAUGGCCUGGGGGCUCUGUCCUCCUGCUGUGGUCCUACGUCUUUACACACACACUGUAAUAAAGUCUCAUGGAAUGCAUGUCGCGUUUAACGCAAUGAAAUACAACUUUCAGCAACGGAUCUCUUGGCUCUCGCAUCGAUGAAGAACGCAGCGAAAUGCGAUAAGUAAUGUGAAUUGCAGAAUUCAGUGAAUCAUCGAAUCUUUGAACGCACCUUGCGCCCUUUGGCUAUUCCGAAGGGCAUGCCUGUUUGAGUAUCAUGAACACCUCAACUCUCAUGGCUUGCCGUGAUGAGCUUGGACUUUGGGGGUCUUGCUGGCUUGCGGUCAGCUCCUCUUAAAUAAAUUAGCUUGCCGGUGUUUGGUGGGAUCACAGGUGUGAUAACUAUCUACGCUUGUGGUUUUUCACUGGGCAACCUUCAGCAAUGGAGGUUCACUGGAGCUCAUAAAUGUCUCUCCUCAGCGGGGACAGAUUUUGACCGUUUGAUCUCAAAUCAGGUAGGACUACCCGCUGAACUUAAGCAUAUCAAUAAGCGGAGGA
rnacentral:rRNA from 1 species